AUUGAACGCUGGCGGCAGGCCUAACACAUGCAAGUCGAACGCGUGGCGGACGGGUGAGUAAUGUCUGGGAAACUGCCCGAUGGAGGGGGAUAACUACUGGAAACGGUCGCUAAUACCGCAUACCAUCUGAUGUGCCCAGAUGGGCUUAGCUAGUAGGUGGGGUAAAGGCUCACCUAGGAGACGAUCCCUAGCUGGUCUGAGAGGAUGACCAGCCACACUGGAACUGAGAAACGGUCCAUACUCCUACGGGAGGAAGCAGUGGGGAAGAUGGCACAAUGGGCGCAAGCCUGAGGCAGCCAUGCCGCGUGUAUGAAGAAGGCCUUCGGGUUGUAAAGUACUUUCAGCGGGGAGGCGUUACCCGCAGAAGAAGCACCGGCUAACUCCGUGCCAGCAGCCGCGGUAAUUC
rnacentral:rRNA from 1 species